rnacentral:ncRNA from 2 species
GUUCAGCAUCAAGAGUCGGGUGAUCCCCGACGCCAACCUGCCUUCCCGGCAAGGUGGCGCCCGUUCAGGGGAUGCGGCCUCACCGGCAACUAACGGGUAUUGG